UAAUGCUGAAACCCACGGUAAUGCACAAAAAGCGACAAAGUCCAGCGUUGGCACGCGGAAACUUCUCCGGCCAACGUAGAGGAGGGUAGAAAUUAAGGGAGAAAGGAGGAGGAGGAGGAGGAGCCAAUUGUGGGUUGCUGAGAUCCAAAGAUGCACGCCAAGACCGACUCCGAGGUCACGAGCAUCGCGCCCUCGUCGCCCGCCCGGCCGGUGUACUACGUGCAGAGCCCGUCGCAUGACUCCCAUGACGGCGCAGAAGAACUCGAAGCCGGCUACUCCUCGCCCUCCCCCUCCUGUCUUCGGUUUCGGCGGCGGCGACGACGACUAUGACAUCGAGAGAUUGAGGAGCAGCACAAAAAGGCAAUGGAAGAGGAUUCGACUACGACGGGAUUUACGACGAGAUGAAGGGGAAGAUUGCGCGCCCCAAGGUUCAGGAUCGAACGGAGAGAAAGUUACACUUUUCCCUACGUUUGAAUGAAAAAGAUCCUUUUGAUUACGCUGAUGAUCGCAUGGAAUUACCAUAUUACCAUGUUUCGUGGUGAUAUAUACAGGUUUUUAGUGUCAUCACUGUAUGUCAUGGUUCUUUGCUUGGAUUCAUUGUCUUGUGCAUUUUGUGCUGUAAUGUCUAGAGGUUUCUGGUGUCAUCAUCAUUGCAAGUUCUGCUUCUUUA